rnacentral:rRNA from 1 species
GACGAACGCUGGCGGCGCGCUUAACACAUGCAAGUCGAGCGAGAACCAGCCCUUCGGGGCUGGGGAGAGCGGCGAACGGGUGAGUAACACGUGGGUAAUCAACCCUCGGUACUGGGAUAGCCCGGGGAAACCCGGAUUAAUACCGGAUGGCCCUUCGAAUCCUCGGAUUUGAAGGAAAAGGUAGCUUCGGCCUCCGACCGAGGACGAGCCCGCGGCGGAUUAGCUUGUUGGUGGGGUAACGGCCUACCAAGGCGACGAUCCGUAGCUGGUCUGAGAGGAAGAUCAGCCACACUGGGACUGAGACGCGGCCCAGACUUCUACGGAAGGCAGCAGUGGGGAAUCUUGCGCUAAUGCGGGAAACCGUGACGCAGCGACGCCGCGUGGGGGAAGAAGGCCUUCGGGUUGUAAACCUCUUUCAGGAGGGACGAAGCUACUCGGGUUAAUAGCCCAGAGGGUGACGGUACCUCCAGAAGAAGCCCCGGCUAACUACGUGCCAGCCGCCGCGGUAA